rnacentral:lncRNA from 1 species
AGGCGCUGCUGGAGGGGGAAGUGAGCGGGAGGGGGCAGUGGGGGCUGGUGCCAGUGGACUCAAGAGGGGGCAACAGAAAGUGACAGAUAAAGGGUCCUGAACCUGUCAACGGCUAUUUCAGGGUUUCUCAGAGAAUCCUUAGUAGUAGUCAAGAGGUAGGGGAGGAAAUGGAGAUUCCUUAAGACGAAGUUUCUUGGAGCAGAGAUGACAAAGGGAAAGCCAGUUUGGUUCAUUGAAUGGAAACAGAAAUGUGCGUCUUUUGGGGUGCACUCUGAGCUAGUCUUUGGGGGUCAGAGAAGGGCUUUCUCCUUAAGGAGCUCACAGUCCCAGGAAGGGCCGAGCUGUCAGUCGGGGUUCUGGGGUUCUCUUCCUGGGACUCCCUUCCUGCAGCAUUUCAGGGCUCUAACCCCAUGUCGAGGGUUUUCUGUGCAUCCAGCUCUGUGUCUCCGCCGUCCUACUGAUGGCCUGUCCCUGUUUCCUCAGGGGAGCUCUACUUCCUGGCCACCGCCUACCCCAGCGCCUACGCUCCGCACGGAUCGAUUUACAAAUUUGUUGACCCAUCGAGGCGAGCACCUCCUGGCAAGUGCAAGUACAAGCCAGUGCCGGUGCAAACCAAGAGCAAGCGUGUCCCGUUCAGGCCGCUCGCCCAGACAGUCUUGGACUUACUAAAGGAGCAGUCGGAGAAAGCUGCUAGAAAAUUCUCCAAUGCAACUUUAGCCUCCAGCCCAGAGCGGGCAUCGUCUCAGAAAGGCCCCUCCAAGGAGCCAGCUUCUCCCACAAGCAGCAGGAAGGCGUCUCAAAGGCCUGGUACCAAGAAGAGAGCCAGAGUGUUGUCCCCAGGCCCCCAGGGCAAGAGGAAGCCAAGCCCAAAACCCCCCAGGGGCCGGGUCCAGAGGUCAGCACAGCCAAGGCGAGCUGGCAGAAGUCUCCCUCGGCCUCUUCUGUCAGGGUGGCUGACCAGGGCACGUGCCAGGGGAGAACCACAUCGCCACGUGGAAGCUGCUCGUUGGGUUGCUGAACGUGGGCAUUAGCUGAAUGGGAGGCAGAGCUGGAGGUGGGGCAGGUAGAGGGAACUUGACUUAGGGCUGGAGCAGUUGUCCUCUCUGCAGGAAUCUUGCUAUCUAAAUGGAGGGGUGCUCCUCCUCUGCUUCUGCGGAGGCAUCGGAUCCCACAGCGCCAGGGUGCUGGGCUAACCUCGGGCAGUGGUUAGCCUUGGACUCCCACUGCACCUUCUCUCAUUUCAUAAAUGCCUACAACUUUAAGGUAAUAAAUCAAUAUUUGCUCCAUCGGUCCUGUAUCCU